rnacentral:rRNA from 1 species
UACGAAGGGGGCUAGCGUUGUUCGGAAUCACUGGGCGUAAAGGGCGCGUAGGCGGCUGUUCAAGUCGGGGGUGAAAGCCUGUGGCUCAACCACAGAAUUGCCUUCGAUACUGGACGGCUGGAGACCGGAAGAGGUCAGUGGAACUGCGAGUGUAGAGGUGAAAUUCGUAGAUAUUCGCAAGAACACCAGUGGCGAAGGCGGCUCACUGGCCCGAUACUGACGCUGAGGCACGAAAGCGUGGGGAGCGAACAGG